rnacentral:misc_RNA from 1 species
CAACCCUUAAGCCUAGCUUAGUGUUGGGAGCCUACGGCAACGUAGUUCCUUAAAGACGAUGGCAGAGCUCGAUCGGUCUCUCAGCGUAGUAAUUUUUUCUCGUUGUGGAAGACGGUCGGGUGAUCGCCAGUAAACCUAUUAUUUUUUAAU